CGGACGGGUGAGUAAUGUCUGGGAAACUGCCUGAUGGAGGGGGGUAACUACUGGAAACGGUAGCUAAUACCGCAUAACGUCGCAAGACCAAAGAGGGGGACCUUAGGGCCUCUCGCCAUCGGAUGUGCCCAGAUGGGAUUAGCUAGUAGGUGGGGUAACGGCUCACCUAGGCGACGAUCCCUAGCUGGUCUGAGAGGAUGACCAGCCACACUGGAACUGAGACACGGUCCAG
rnacentral:rRNA from 1 species